GACCUUUGGUAGCACAUAUAGUAAAACUCGAAUGAUACAGAGAAGAUUAGCAUGGUACCUGAUCAAAGAUGACACACACAUUUGUGAAGUAUAUCACAUUUUU